rnacentral:rRNA from 1 species
GGCUCAGAACGAACGCUGGCGGCAGGCUUAACACAUGCAAGUCGAGCGCCCCGCAAGGGGAGCGGCAGACGGGUGAGUAACGCGUGGGAAUCUACCCUUGACUACGGAAUAACGCAGGGAAACUUGUGCUAAUACCGUAUGUGUCCUUCGGGAGAAAGAUUUAUCGGUCAAGGAUGAGCCCGCGUUGGAUUAGCUAGUUGGUGGGGUAAAGGCCUACCAAGGCGACGAUCCAUAGCUGGUCUGAGAGGAUGAUCAGCCACAUUGGGACUGAGACACGGCCCAAACUCCUACGGGAGGCAGCAGUGGGGAAUAUUGGACAAUGGGCGCAAGCCUGAUCCAGCCAUGCCGCGUGAGUGAUGAAGGCCCUAGGGUUGUAAAGCUC